UACGGAGGGUGCAAGCGUUAUCCGGAUUCACUGGGUUUAAAGGGUGCGUAGGUGGGCAAGUAAGUCAGUGGUGAAAUCUCCGGGCUUAACCCGGAAACUGCCAUUGAUACUAUUUGUCUUGAAUACUGUGGAGGUCAGCGGAAUAUGUCAUGUAGCGGUGAAAUGCUUAGAUAUGACAUAGAACACCAAUUGCGAAGGCAGCUGGCUACACAAAUAUUGACACUGAGGAGCGAAAGCCAGGGGAGCAAACGGG
rnacentral:rRNA from 1 species